rnacentral:lncRNA from 1 species
GGCUACAGUGGAAUACUCUUAAGCACACUGAUAGUGACCUUACAAAACAUUUUAGAGUAACUUCAGAACCGAUUUCUAAUGAAACGAAUCAAUUUUUGGCAACUUUGUCCUCUGCUUAAUGGAGCUAAAAUGCAGUUAUUUUUAAACAGAUUAUAGAAUUUAAAAUAUUAGUAAAGAUCUCAGCAAGCUUAUACAGCUGAGUAUUUGUCAUGCAAUACAUAAGAGAAAAAAUUCACAUAUUCUUAAGUGGGCAUUAUGUUAAACAGUUGUUUGGGGAAAAAAAAAAAGGAUACAUCUUCAAAUCCCACUGCAGAAAAAUCAUGUAAUUCCUGUAACUAGUACAGUUCUAUGUUUGAAAUGCUCUAAAAUGUUUUUAUUACUGAAAAUAAUGGACAAUACAUGGAAGAUUUAUUAAGGAAACGCUAUAAGAUUACAGACCGUAAAUUGUGGCUUUUUAAAAAUAAGUGAUACAGACUAAUAAGGUCACAGUUCAUCUGUGAACUGCUGUCUAGAAAAGUUACAAAAUUAAGGUGUUCUCAUGGUGCUGACAAGACCUACACAUGCACUCUGCUGCUGAAUUUGUACUGCUUGGCUGACUCCUUCCUUGUUUAUGGUCAGUCUCGCCAAGCGGGAGUAGCAUAAACAAAAUCCCAAGUGUUCACUCUCAGUAAAAGACUCAUGAAAUGUUCCUUUAGUCUGUCUGUUGUUGUUAACCUUGUAUUAGUGUAAACCCAGUAAUAACCAUCUUAUGAAUUAGGCUUGAUAGUCACUGUAUCUGCCAGCUGCAAAAAAAUAUAAACCUCAAAAUCACUGAUACUAAUAUUCAUAUUCCCAGAAGCUGUACCUGUAUCUUUCCUUGAACAAUGUUUAUCUACUUUUAUCCUCUUGCUUGGGUUCCAAGAUACAAAGACAGUAACAGUAGUGCUAUGUUACAUUUUUUUAACAUGAAGAGCUUUUUGGAUAGAACUGCUGUAAAGCAGGGCAUCACUUUUAAUGAGGUGAGCUGCUAAAAGUUCGUUACUGUGUGUGUGAAACCAGCUAAUGUUUAGUAUCAUCAAAAAGGUGAGCACACAAAUCUUACUUUUAUGACAUGAAGAAAAUGUUUUAAAGUUAUCCUAGCAGAGAUAAUGCUAGAAAUUUUGAUAUGGCUAGGUACAUUUUAGGCAAGUGGUUGGACAGACUGUCUGAUUAUCAAUCUGAUAACGCUGUGGCUUGCUUACUAGAAGAUACCCAGCCUGUGGGAGGAGGGUUGGAACUAGAUGAUCUUUAAGAUCCUUUCCAACCCAAACCAUUCUAUGAUUUUAUAGCUGUUUAAGAGGUAUGUAUCUAUAUAACAAAAGCUCCAUUCACAAGAUAGGCAGGGUGGACUGAAUGUUAGAGGUCCACAGUUUUCACAGCUCCUGGACAAAAACUGAUGUCAUCCCUUUUACCUAAAUAUUUAGUUAUAUGAUAAAUUACGCAGGAAGUAUGCACGUGAAGAUUGAUAUUUGUAUUUAAUUGUUUUUGGACCUACACAUUUUGUUCCACUGUGAGCAAUGCUACUGCAGGUGCUAUAAAGCCCAAAGAAAUCACAGAAGGCUGCACAGAUUUGAUGAUUUAUCUGCCCAAACAAAAUAAUAAAUUGUUUAAAGAUG